GGAGCAGCAGGAGGAGUGAAGGAAAAGAAGGCGGCGGAGAAGGCCCUGCUCGCCGGAGAGGUCGAUCGGCGGCGACGAACUCCGAGCCGCACGUUCUGGCGACGGAGGGCUGGAACCGGUCGAUGGGGAGACCUGUAGGCGCGCGGCGGCGGCGGUUUGGGACGGCGGCGAAGCUGCAACUCGGACGGCGCCAUGGCUUCCUAUGCAAAGAAAACGAGACGAGGGGGAGGUCAGGGAGGAGCAGCAGGAGGAGUGAAGAAAAAAGGCGGCGGAGAAGGCCCUGCUCGCCGGAGAGCUCGCCUAGCGCCGACGCUCGCUGUAGCGGGAGUAUGCUCGGGCGUACCGGCAUGAGAGCUGCAGUUGGUGGGAAUUGGCUGCGGGCAUAGGAACCGUGGAUUGAUCCCACGUACACACAGCACUUCUCGGCUCUACGAAAUCCAUGGCUCAAGUGCGUGUCCCGGGAUCCGAGCCUCUAUCACUUCUUCAGUUCCGGCUUGCUUCAAGAACAAAAAAUUUCUGUGUGAAAGACCACUAGCAGAACUGAAUGUUGUAUGCACCUUCAUCUUGCAGUCCAAUUACUUGGAUUAUUUGGGACAAAUUCCUUUCUUUUUAACCGUACUACAGUUAGAUAGCAGGAUAAGGAUACAUGCUUGUACUGCCUCUAUCGUAAAUUGCACAUGAGUUGAUUCCGAGUUUAGACAGCUAGCAAUCAAUCGCUCUGAAGGUAUUGCUCUUUUAUUUUAUUUCAGAUCAUGAGGAAAUGGGUUCAGAUAUGUGACUACUCUAUGCUGUACUAACUAUUCUAUGUUGUACUGACUAUUCUAUGCGACCACCAACAGCAAGGGUUCUCUCAGCACUGUAGCGGCUUGCUCGAAUCGUCCACCACCGACCGCCGCUGGCGCAAGCUGAAACUCACCCGGGGGAGCACUGGCUGGCGCGACAGUGGCGGCGAGGACCAGGUCAAGGCUUCGCAAUAAGCGCCGGAUCAAGCCAUGAAACAUGUUGACGGAUUAGUUUUCCACCUCAUGUUUACUUCACCAUGUAGUUGGGUGUAACGCGAGUUCUGCUCUUCUUCUAGGCUGUUGGGAGGAGCGACCCUGCCAUCACGUGGAGAACGAGCGGCUCCUGGUGCUCGACAAGGUGCCUGAGCAAGGCAUAUUAGUGGACGUGGCUCGACCCUGAACGUGCUUUCCCCAAAUUUGUUCAGUGAGCAGUGCUAUCAUAUUCUCCUUGCUCUUAUCAUGGAAAGGUUUGGAGUUUGGGUCUUUUUAGUUCUCGCGUUCGGACCAAAAUGAGUGGGGGAGUGGAGAUUGGCAUGAAUAAUUGCAAUUUUUAACACAAGGUUGUGCUAGCAAGGAAAUUCACUUCAGCUCAAGACUUGAUAAGGCAUGUGGCGACCCUAGGAGGUGCUGUUGUGCUCACUCGCAUACCAUAUAUUCAGAGUUAAAGUUGUUUGCGUGCUUUCUAUGGUCUAAGUGGUAACACAUGAAAGAUCCAGAAAGAUUUUGAAGCGGCGUAGAUCCAGCCGGUGCAUACUAUUGCCUUCAAAGGCCUUGAAGGAGAUCAUAUAUGUUUGGCUACUGACAUGACAAGAAUUUCAGCAAAAAGGUGACAUGAAUUUUCACCUUCUCGUCUGCUCUUUUAUCUUUUGCUAUUCUGCAUUAACACUCAGGUGUCUGCUGUUUCAGAUUUCCAAUUAUUAGACACAUGCUUUGCAGCUUGUAUUAGUACAUAUCACCAUGCAUCCAUGCCUAAGCUACUAGCGAAAUGAAGGAAACUUUUCCAUGAUUUGUGUAGACUGGAGUCCCUUUAACAUGCAUUCUCUAUUCUUGAUUUAAGAAUUUGACUAUAUGGUGUGCAUUUAAGUAGUGGAUGAAAUUAUAAUCACCGCUUGAUUCUAUGUCCAAUGCUAGAAAAAAAGGUUAUUUUUCUUAUUACUGGGGAACAACUAAUUUGACUUGUUCUAUGUCUGCUCAAAUAAUUGUUUCAGUUUCAAAAUUGUCACAUAAGAAAUAAGCCAUCAAAGCACAGAAAUGCAAUCUUAGUAGCAACACUAACUUAGGGCGCAGACAUUUAGUGCUCGGGCUUGCUUGCCUUUGGUAUCGUUAGAUAGUAGAGAUGACUGACAUAUGUUAAUGCAUGUGAAUACUCAACGUUAAAGCAAGCUGUUUUGUGAAAUACAGAACUGGCGUAACCACUUAGAAAAGGAAAUUAGUUGUUCCCCAGUGCUAUGAAAAAUACAGAGCUGACGUACAAGAUACAGAACUUAUUUGGAGGUAGUUAACAGAGGUGACAUUUAUUAGGGGGGUGACACUUAUGCAAGUAGCUACGGCUAUGAAUAGAUGAGCGUUGGCCAUGAUUAGCAGCACCACCAUGAGGGCAUUUGUCCUGGAAGUGUGGUCGGGGACUGGGGAUGAUUGAACACAGGUGACUGUCUUCUCAACUUGAUGUUGCUUUGAAUGCGUCGGACGCUGAUCCAAGUUGCGGCGAGCUGAUAUCCAUCAUGGCUUGGGAGGGAUUACUUGUAUUCUACCAAUUCAAAAUUAAUCUCAUGCAAUCAUUUUCUUGAUGACUAUGAGAGGUAUUCCCAUUUGCAAAUCUCCGCCUUCACAUAUGGCCUCAUGCGAGGUCCGGCCGCCAGCGGCGCGAUGUGAAAUGCGGGUGUUGGAGGUGCAGGUGGAGGGGUGGAGCGGCGAUGACGACGGCCAGAGGAAGAGCCGACCUCGUGGUCGUUCCUGCCCUUGCCGCCGGAGAUCCAGUGUGGCCGGCGGCAAGGUUGAGCUAGGGUUUGGAGAAACCGAGCAUGUCGGGCUUCAAGGAGGCAUGUGUCGCCGGGAGUGGGGAAGUGGAAGUGUGUACCCCCACCGGUCCAUGGCUUCCGCAUUAAAAAGGACGGCGACCACUCGGCCAGGGUGGCUGACAAGCGAGGCCGCCCGCACGUGCAUCGUAAAUGUGGACGGUGGGUGGUAGGUGGGCGGCUGCCACGCGGGCCCAAGGAGGACGCGGAGUGGGCGUGUGGGCGUCCGUUCGACGUUCGUCUGGACGCAAACCGGGCGCAAAUUUGAGCCGGAAAUGGGGCGGCCCGAACGCGAAACGGACAGAAAAUGCAAUGGAUUGGUUGAAGGUCUGCGGGUCGUGCGGUCUGUCCGUUUGGGCCCAAACGGGCAGACGCGGACCGGACGGGGUGGUGCGUUGGAGUUGCCAUAAUGGAUUGGUUGAAGGUAGCAUCUUCUACCGAGCUUCAAUUGAUAGGGAAGGAAUUGUGUCUGUCUGUGCCUUUGGUUUUCUUGUGCGUCGAGAGUUCGUACAGUUUAUUUUGAGGGAAAGAGAUUCUUCAUCUAGAUGAGAAAGAGCACUCUGAUUAAUUAGAUCAGAAGUUGUGUGUGAUGUUGGUUUCUCGUGACUACAAUGGCACCAACCACCAGGUGAGGUCGUGAGUGAGGCGCCGCAGGUGGACAUGAGGAAGGCUUCUUGACCUAUAAGAUCCAUGGUUGGGCAAGUUUGCUUCAUCUAAACUUUACUUAGUCUGAGAUGAUUAGGAUCCUUAAUUGCUUUAUUUAAUUUGCAUUGGUUUAUUUUUGCAGCAUCUCCUGCAAUACAGGAGCAAAAAACUUAGCACUGUUGAUCUUUUAAACUUGAAGUUACAACUGCUUAACCCGAUAAUAAUUUACUUCUGGAGAUUGCAGAAGCCGUUUCAAUGAACAUAAACGACAGGGGCAUCCUGGGUAAAUCAGCUAGGAGCAGUCUAGAAAAAUGUGACAGUCUCACACUACAGCAGCAUGCCUAAUGCAAGACACCAGAAUAAUGAUUGAAGCGUUAAAGCCCCUUCUCUUUGGAUUUUGAUUGGUUUUUGAUUGGUUUUUGUGUAUGUCCUUUGCUCAGGCAUUUACAUGUCCGAUUUGUUUGUACUAAGUGGUAUUCAUUUUUUCCUUUAGUCUCAUCAAUUUUACAAUUUUUGUGAAAAGGCGUAUGUUUCGCUUUUCAGUUUGAUCCCCAACAAUAUAUUGUAGGGUGAAGAAGUGCUUAUGUAUAUGUUCCAACAAAAUGUGUGGCAAAAUCACUGGAAUUAUGGUGUUAUGAGCUAGAAGAUUUCGAAAGCACACCAAUAAGAAAUUACACAUAUUUAUACCUCAGACGGGGAAGCAUGUGUUUGAUCUUUGCUAUUGAGACUCAAUAUUUCCUACCGGAUGUCUAAAACAUGUAUUAUUAGAAGCAAAAUAUUUACAAGGAUUACAUGUAUGCUAUUUUUAUGGGGCUAUCUAAUGUUUGAUAUCCUGGCCUCUAAUUAUUUGUAUUUAUUGUCUGGCUCUAUGAAAAUACAAUCGUGUCGGCAAAUCAUAUUACAACAUUUGUGACAUCCAUAAGAAAUAGGCACUCCUAGCAUUGCCUUGGGAGUUGAUAUUUUGUCAUGAACAGAGAAAGGCCAAAGUUAUGUGCAAUAGUUGUCGGAGUGGUUAGUGGUUACCAUGCUGCAGAACCAAUUGAUAGAUUAUCACGUUCUUCAUUAUUGUUGGCUUAAUACUUUACUGUUGUGUUUCUAAUUAGAGGGCUGCAGUUGCACCUGAGUUGAGGGGGUGGUAA